GACGAACCGUGCAAACGUUGUUCGGAAUCACUGGGCUUAAAGGGCGCGUAGGCGGGCUCGCCAGUCAGGGGUGAAAGCCCACAGCUCAACUGUGGAAGUGCCUUUGAUACUGCGAGUCUCGAGGGAGGUAGGGGCGUGCGGAACUUCCGGUGGAGCGGUGAAAUGUGUAGAGAUCGGGAGGAACACCGGUGGCGAAGGCGGGUCUCUGGGCAAUUCCUGACGCUGAGGCGCGAAAGCGUGGGGAGCAAACGGG
rnacentral:rRNA from 1 species